rnacentral:rRNA from 1 species
UACGUAGGUGGCAAGCGUUGUCCGGAAUUAUUGGGCGUAAAGCGCGCGUAGGCGGCCACUUAAGUCGGAUGUGAAAGCCCCUGGCUCAACUGGGGAAGUGCACCCGAAACUGAGCGGCUUGAAUGCAAAAGAGGGUCGCGGAAUUCCCGGUGUAGAGGUGAAAUUCGUAGAUAUCGGGAGGAACACCGGUGGCGAAGGCGGCGACCUGGGUUGACAUUGACGCUGAGGCGCGAAAGCGUGGGGAGCAAACAGG